rnacentral:rRNA from 1 species
CAUUACUGAAGAUAGGAGGGUUUUGAGACUGCGUCAUGUGAACCGUGUGCUCGACUCUUACUCUUUCUUUAUCCACACCUUUUGUGCACCCUUGGGGAAUGAAUAUGUGUUCCCCCUUUUUUCAUUCAACACCGGUUAUAUUGCAUGUCUUAUCAUAACUCUAUGGAGUAAAUGUACAACUUUCAACAACGGAUCUCUUGGCUUUCGCAUCGAUGAAGAACGCAGCGAACGCGCGAAACGUAAUGUGAAUUGCAGAAUUCAGUGAAUCAUCGAAUCUUUGAACGCAUCUUGCGCUCCUUGGUAUUCCGAGGAGCAUGCCUGUUUGAGUGUCGUGUAUCCUUCUCAAUGUCAAUCUUUUUGUUUGACAUUGGAGUUGGAUGUUGCUGGGGUUUUUCAUCAGCUCAUCCUAAAUAUAUUAGCGAUCUGCCUUGAUCACAUCACAAUGUGAUAAAUAGAGCAUUGUUAUCAUCAAGUGUAGAUGGCUUCUAACCGUCGCAAGACAAAGCCAUGUCAUUUGACCUCAAAUCAGGUAGGACUACCCGCUGAACUUAAGCAUAUCAAUA